GAUGAACGCUAGCGGCAGGCCUAACACAUGCAAGUCGAGGGAGAAGCCCUUUCGGGGGCAGAAACCGGCGCACGGGUGCGUAACGCGUAUGCAACCUACCUUUCACAGGGGGGUAGCCCGAAGAAAUUUGGAUUAAUACCCCAUAAUAUUAUUGGAUGGCAUCAUUUGAUAAUUAAAACUGCGGUGGUGAAAGAUGGGCAUGCGUCCUAUUAGCUAGUUGGAGUGGUAACGGCACCCCAAGGCUACGAUAGGUAGGGGUCCUGAGAGGGAGAUCCCCCACACUGGUACUGAGACAGGGACCAGACUCCUACGGGAGGCAGCAGUGAGGAAUAUUGGUCAAUGGUCGGAAGACUGAACCAGCCAUGCCGCGUGCAGGAAGAAUGCCUUAUGGGUUGUAAACUGCUUUUAUAUGGGAAGAAUAAGGUGUACGUGUACAUUGAUGACGGUACCAUAUGAAUAAGCAUCGGCUAACUCCGUG
rnacentral:rRNA from 1 species